AUUCUGCAAUGAUGAAGGGGGAUGAUUGAAAAGAGCUGGACUAAAUUGGUCUAACUAGGACACUUGAAGGCUUGUGAAUCAGUUCACACGAUCAGUGUGAAAAGCGGGUAUGAAGACCCAGAUGCUGGUGUGUACGUGUGCAUAUAAGCCCCAACAGCUAGAAAUCAAGCCUUUCUGGCUUCCGAUUGUUGGAGAAGUGGAAACAGUUAAUGGAGUAUGCAAUGAGAUUCUUUCUCUGUUCCCUGUCCCACUGGCCACACAAAUUACUGACAUGGAUCAUAAGUCAGAUUCUGCCAGAAACGGAGUAGAAAAACUGUGGCUCACCCGGGACCCAGUCUUUCCCCAGGUUCCCCACAGAUGAGCUCUGAAUCUGUUAUAAUUGACUCACCACGACCUGCAUGUACACAUGGAAUUCCUCAUGGCAUCCUUAGAUCUUUUUUGCCACAUCCUUUUGCUCUGACUCGAAGAGGAAGCCAACCCAUCUCUUCGCUGGCCUGUGCCACAGAUGCAUUCCAUGUCAAUACCAUCUGUGAUCCCGACGGAAAUGAUAGUUAAAAUUUGUUGCAUCUGUUAUUGAGCCUAUCUUUGUAGUAGGAGUAAUGAAAUUUGGCUUCCAAACUAAUUCAUCUUUAUGCAGAUAGCCCAAACUAACCUGCAAUUAAAACACUGAAAGUAGUCACAACUGGGAGAUACAAAAUAAAUGUGGGAAAAAGUUCUUUUUCAAUAAAGAAGCUUGAUUAGUUUGAGAAACAUCAACUCCAAGGACUAUAAUCUAAGCUGGUAGAAAUUAAAAUUAUGGGAAAAUAGAAUUUUGCCGAUAGACUUGAAACUGUGAAAAUAAGUAGUGUUUGAUAACCUGAAAUAAACUCUUUCUAAAGCACUAUUUUUAUAGUGGAACCAGGGGCAGCUAUUAUUUUGUUAUUAUUUUAAUUGUUUGUGAACAUAUGGGAUAAAGAAAAGGAGCAUGAAUGUGAUUGCAGCUACAGUAUAUCUAGAAGAGUCAAUUAAAUUUAUGUUCUAAAGGAGCAUAAGAAUGAUGAUUCUGUCACUCAGAAUUGAAGAUGUUUAAUGUAUAUUGUAAACUGGUAAUGUUUAAGAUUUUCAGAUAGUGUGUAUAUUGAUUAAACAAGAUAUUGAGAGAUUUCAAAUGGCCAAAAAGUAGAAUUGUCUUUAUGUAUAUCAAAAUAUAUUUUUGAAACUUCUGAAUUUCUCAGUCAUAUAAACAAUAAACAUCUACCUCUAGAAGAAAAUUUAAUCCUAUUUUACUUAGUUGGACAUACUCUUUC
rnacentral:lncRNA from 1 species